CUCCUCUGCGAGAGACAGGAGGGCUGGGUUAGCCUCUCCCAUCGAGGCAAACCCAGCCCUCCCUCCUCUGUGUGCAUGGAUCAGUGUGGUGGCCAUUUUCAACCAGCUCCGCGGUGUGUGAGGGGGGAACCAGCGCGAUCAACUCCUGCAGCAUCAGCCCCCAGUGAAGAAAUGUUAUGAAACAACUGUCUCCUGUCAACUGAGCUUAAUACUAGCAGCAACAACAAACACAUAGAUAUCAAAUAAUAUCUCUCUUGAAAAAAAAAUAAAGAACACUGGAUUAUUCAACCCAAAUGCUGUCAAGAAUU